UACGUAGGGAGCAAGCGUUGUUCGGAUUUACUGGGCGUAAAGGGCGCGUAGGCGGCGCGGUAAGUCACUUGUGAAAUCUCUGAGCUUAACUCAGAACGGCCAAGUGAUACUGCAGUGCUAGAGUGCAGAAAGGGCAAUCGGAAUUCUUGGUGUAGCGGUGAAAUGCGUAGAUAUCAAGAGGAACACCUGAGGCGAAGGCAGCUCACUAAGUCAUAACUGACGCUGAUGCACGAAAGCGUGGGGAGCAAACAGG
rnacentral:rRNA from 1 species